rnacentral:rRNA from 1 species
GCUCAGGAUGAACGCUGGCGGCAUGCCUAAUACAUGCAAGUCGAACGAGAGGAAGGAAAGCUUGCUUUUCUGAAUCUAGUGGCGAACGGGUGAGUAACACGUAGGUAACCUGCCCAUGUGCCCGGGAUAACUUCUGGAAACGGAUGCUAAAACCGGAUAGGUAGCAGACAAGCAUUUGACUGCUAUUAAAGUGGCCUUGGCCAUGAACAUGGAUGGACCUGCGGUGCAUUAGCUAGUUGGUGAGGUAACGGCCCACCAAGGCGACGAUGCAUAGCCGGCCUGAGAGGGCGGACGGCCACAUUGGGACUGAGACACGGCCCAAACUCCUACGGGAGGCAGCAGUA